rnacentral:rRNA from 1 species
GACGAACGCUGGCGGCGUGCCUAAUACAUGCAAGUCGAACGAGAGCGACCGGUGCUUGCACUGGUCAAUCUAGUGGCGAAAGGGUGAGUAACACGUGGGUAACCUGCCCAUCAGAGGGGGAUAACAUCCGGAAACGGAUGCUAAAACCGCAUAGGUCUUCGAGCCGCAUGGCUUGAAGAGGAAAAGAGGCGCAAGCUUCUGCUGAUGGAUGGACCCGCGGUGCAUUAGCUAGUUGGCGAGGUAACGGCUCACCAAGGCCGUGAUGCAUAGCCGACCUGAGAGGGUGAUCGGCCACAUUGGGACUGAGACACGGCCCAAACUCCUACGGGAGGCAGCAGUAGGGAAUCUUCCGCAAUGGACGCAAGUCUGACGGAGCAACGCCGCGUGAGUGAAGAAGGUUUUCGGAUCGUAAAACUCUGUUGUUAGAGAAGAACAAGUGCUAGAGUAACUGUUAGCGCCUUGACGGUAUCUAACCAGAAAGCCACGGCUAACUACGUG